GAUAUCCAAAUUUCUUUGUAAACCAAGUGUUGAACACAGUGGAGCUGCUAUGAACAUGGAUCCUGAGUAGUUAUGUAGAGGACAGCUGUUCUUUGAACCUGAACAUCCACUGCAGGCUGAUCAGGUGCUCUGACUGCUCACCUAGGGAUAUGUUUGCCUUCCAAGUCCUCUCCGUGGGAAUUCCAAAGUUUUACACAGAAGGUGAAUUCACUUGCAAUUUGACCUGAUGACUAAUUUGAUGUGCACAAGAUUCUAUGCCACCCUUUAAAAAUCCUGGGCGUAAGGAUGUCA